rnacentral:lncRNA from 1 species
AGAGCAACAUAAUUUAGAAAAAGUUGAGGAAACGUCCAAUUUAUACAAAAUAGAACAAUUGACCAUAUAUGCUGUUAAAACAGCAGAAUCAAAUUGCCAUUGAUGAUAGCCUAGUAUUUGAAAAAGAAGAAGCUAAGAAAUACUCUCAAGGUAAGAUGAUUAAAUUGAUGAAUCAUGCUGAAACAGAAACAAUGAUCAUUUUUCCUUAAUAAUUCCUCACAGUCUGCGGAAUGAAACACUAAUUCAUUAACAAUGUCCAUUUAUCUUGAUCUAAGGCUACCACCAAGCAUAUCAAGACAAUCUAUCAAUAAAGCUACAUAAACAAAGUUCUCGAGAUUCAGUAAUCACCGUUGGAAUUUCUUCAGGCCUUUUAUCUGUUAAAAGUGCACGAAUGAGGGCGGCGCGGGAACU